CGUGUAGGCGGUCGGCCAAGUCUGACGUGAAAGCCCGGGGCUCAGCCCCGGAAGGGCGUCGGAAACUAACCGGCUGGAGCGCGAUAGAGGAGGGUAGAAUUCCUGGUGUAGCGGUGAAAUGCGUAGAUAUCAGGAGGAAUACCGGCGGCGAAGGCGGCCCUCUGGAUCGUUGCUGACGCUGAGACGCGAAAGCGUGGGGAGCAAACAGGAUUAGAUACCCUGGUAGUCCACGCUGUAAACGAUGGGUACUAGGUGUUUGGGGUAUUGACCCCCUGAGUGCCGCAGUUAACGCAUUAAGUACCCCGCCUGGGGACUACGGCCGCAAGGUUAAA
rnacentral:rRNA from 1 species